rnacentral:tRNA from 1 species
GGCCCCAUAGUUCAAUGGAUAGAAUAAGAGAUUCCGGUUCUCUGGGUUGAGGUUCGAUUCCUCAUGGGGCUACCA